rnacentral:lncRNA from 1 species
CCCAGAUCAGUAGGGAUAAGGCACUCAGUAGUGCUGUGGAGAGGAGUGGAGCUGGUGCCUGUUAUCGCAGCCGUGUACUUUGCAGGAGCUUUAAAUGCCACUGCUGGAGCACAAGAUUCAGAUGGCACGUGGAGGGAAGAGAGAAAAAUUAGGAGGAUCUUCAUUUCAAGCCCAUUGGAAGGAGUACAGUAGAGGUGCUGAACCUGACACGGAGCUGGCGCUGCGGAGCGGGGUGGGCAGCCGGACACUGUGCAUGGAGCAUCUUGAGCAGUUGGUAACAUUUGGCAGCUUAACAUAGAAAAAAUGACUGCUAGGGAAAUCUCAACUGCCGCUAAUUAGCAGCAAUGAACUGUGGGUAAGGACAGUCCAUUUUAAUGUGAGAAGAAUUUUACAAUAACCACCACACUGAAAGAAAUAGAACGAAAUGCUCCCUAGCUGACCCUUGUGGCAAUCUAAGCUGCAUAUUGCAAUAAUCCUGUAAAUUACUAUGCUUUUUUAUACAGUAACUUGGAGUUAAUUAGUAAUUUAACAUUCCUCUACGCUAUUAAAUGUCUUUCUUGCAUUAUAUUAUGUUGUUUCAUGGUCUUACCUUAACACUAAUGGGGUUUAGUUAUAUUUUCUCAAAACAGUAACAGUAAAAUAAAACCGAG